UACGUAGGGUGCAAGCGUUGUCCGGAAUUAUUGGGCGUAAAGAGCUCGUAGGCGGUUUGUCGCGUCUGCUGUGAAAACUCGGGGCUUAACCCCGGGCCUGCAGUGGGUACGGGCAGACUAGAGUGCGGUAGGGGAGACUGGAAUUCCUGGUGUAGCGGUGAAAAUGCGCAGAUAUCAGGAGGAACACCGGUGGCGAAGGCGGGUCUCUGGGCCGUAACUGACGCUGAGGCGCGAAAGCGUGGGGGAGCAAACAGG
rnacentral:rRNA from 1 species